rnacentral:rRNA from 1 species
CCUACGGGCGGCAGCAGUAGGGAAUUUUCGGCAAUGGGGGGAACCCUGACCGAGCAACGCCGCGUGAACGAAGAAGUUAUUCGUAAUGUAAAGUUCUUUUAACAGGGAAGAAAGAGAAAUUUGACGGUACCUGAAGAAUAAGCUCCGGCUAACUACGUGCCAGCAGCGGCGUUAAUACGUAGGGAGCGAGCGUUAGCCGGAAUUCUGGGGCGUAACGGCUGGGUAGAUGGCAUAGUAAGUCUUUGGUAAAAAUGCUGGGCUCAACCCAGUAGGGCAAAAGAUACUGCAAAGCUAGAGUAUGACAGAGGCAAGUGGAACUACAGGUGUAGCGGUAAAAUGCGUAGAUAUAUGUAAGAACACCAGUGGCGAAGGCGGCUUGCUGGGUCGAUACUGACGUUGAGGAGCGAAAGCGUGGGGAGCAAACAGGAUUAGAUACCCCAGUAGUC